UACGUAGGUGGCAAGCGUUGUCCGGAAUUAUUGGGCGUAAAGAGCAUGUAGGCGGGCUUUUAAGUCCGACGUGAAAAUGCGGGGCUUAACUCCGUAUGGCGUUGGAUACUGGAAGUCUUGAGUGCAGGAGAGGAAAGGGGAAUUCCCAGUGUAGCGGUGAAAUGCGUAGAUAUUGGGAGGAACACCAGUGGCGAAGGCGCCUUUCUGGACUGUGUCUGACGCUGAGAUGCGAAAGCCAGGGUAGCAAACGGG
rnacentral:rRNA from 1 species